rnacentral:rRNA from 1 species
AGCGAACGCUGGCGGCAGGCCUAACACAUGCAAGUCGAGCGCCCCGCAAGGGGAGCGGCAGACGGGUGAGUAACGCGUGGGAACAUACCCUUUCCUGCGGAAUAGCUCCGGGAAACUGGAAUUAAUACCGCAUAAGCCCUACGGGGGAAAGAUUUAUCGGGGAAGGAUUGGCCCGCGUUGGAUUAGCUAGUUGGUGGGGUAAAGGCCUACGAAGGCGACGAGCCAUAGCUGGUCUGAGAGGAUGAGCAGCCACAUUGGGACUGAGACACGGCCCAAACUCCUACGGGAGGCAGCAGUGGGGAAUAUUGGACAAUGGGCGCAAGCCUGAUCCAGCCAUGCCGCGUGAGUGAUGAAGGCCUUAGGGUUGUAAAGCUCUUUCACCGGAGAAGAUAAUGACGGUAUCCGGAGAAGAAGCCCCGGCUAACUUCGUGCCAGCCGCCGCGGUAAGAC